rnacentral:lncRNA from 1 species
GCUACAAUAAUACUUUAUUCAAAAAUCAAAACACUGAAGUAGUGAAGAAGAUCAAAAUUGUUGUUAUUACAAGUGUGAAUAUAUUACACAAGUCACCUGAAAGUACUUUUAAAAGGAAAACAAAGUCAACAUAUGAACUUUUAACAAAUAUAAUCAGAAAUUAUAUACUGUCAAAACUUUCUACAAACGAUGACUACUGACUCAACUAUGGAUCUGUCCUUAUUUUCUUUCUUUCUUUUGGUUAUACAUAAAAUAAUUAAGAACAAACACACAAAAAAUAAAUAAUAAUAAUAAUAUAACAAUAAUAAAGUCUAAAGAUCAUAUAUCAUGUGAAGCUAAACGCUAAAAGCCACCUCGAAACAGAGAAAAUGGAUAAGGCGGUGUUGUUGGUGGAUUUGACUCUACCACUCCUCCAAACGUCGCCGUUUCUUUAUACCUUCUUUCUCCCUGAAUACUCCCACAUCCUCCUCCUCCUCCUCCGUUAACACUCUCCGGCAAAGAAAACGUCGACGUCAAAGAUGAUGACGUCGACGACGUUGAAUUCGAGAGCAUCGACUUCGCCACCAAACCCGUCUCGUAACUACCAAACUGUCCUUGCGUCAUAGGAACAAUCCACCCAUCCGGUGAAUGAUUCCGGUAAAGAUUCUCCGUUGAUGACGGCGACGGUGUUGAUGAUGACAUAACCCUAAAGACCCUCCCUUCAUCUUCUUCCACUUCUUCUUCCUCUGACUUCACCGUCGACAUCGUGACACGACGCUUCUUCUUGUCGGAAACUUGUUGUUGUUGCUUUGUCCGUUCUUUCUCGAGCAUCAUUCUUGGAAGAAGAUCAGGAUCUUCAACGACUUUGUAAAGAAACGCCAUCAUCUGCUCCGGUCUCUUCUCCGUCGCUUCGAUCCUCCGGUUCAUCCUCUGAAUCUCUGCCUCUAGCUCCCUCUGCUCUUCUUUUAACCGUUCGAUCUCCCUCACAAUCUCACCGUCCUCCAAAUCUUGACCGUACAUCCCCCGCGCGUGUUUCCUACGCGCUAUGUUAUUCAACAAAUGCUUCUGUCCCCUUAGAAAAUGCUCGUUCGCAAACUCCCACCGGUCCGGAUCCACUUUCCUAAACCCCUAAAGUAAAUAAAGAAAGGAUCAUUAGUUCGUAAUCCCCUGUUUCCAGUUUCAUGUAAGAUUCGUUGCGAGAAGUCGAGUGGAUCAACGACUAUGAAACUGUUGUGAGCAGGUCCCCAAGUGAUGAGCCAAUCGGUGGAAGGAUCAUUGACCAUCUGAUAUGUUUUCACGAUGAAAGAAAUUAAAGAGGAGCCUGGAGGGUUUAUAUAAAGAUAGGAAAAUGAGAUGUGAAAAUAGUAAGUUAAGUGUAGUUGACAGUGAGACUAUAUUGACGUGGCUUGCUUUUUGUGAUAACGUGGCGGGUUCGUGUUUUGCCUUUUACGGUGUCACGAGUGAACUGUGGGACCUAUGCAGGUGCCACAAAGCCUUAGGUCAAUUAGCUUUUCUUAGAUGGCAAGUUAUUAGUCCGAGCCGUUGUGUAUUUGUGUGAGAUGUUUUCAAGAGACGACGAGCGUGUGGGUGCUUGGAUACUGACAUGGUCCGCACUGGUUAGUGACGGAGGAACUCAGGAACAAGUACUGAUUCGACACGUUGCGUAGAAUCUUUUUUGUUGGCGAUGCACACUCCACUAAUCGAGUAUUUUUGUAUUUAUGGAAAGUUUAUUCAUUAUACGUUGCUUAAUUCAGGUAUACGACGAACAUGAUUUUUCAUUUUUAUUAUAGUGUCACACAAAUAUUAUAGGAAACUGAUGUCGUACGGA